GCCAGACUCCUACGGGAGGCAGCAGUGGGGGAUAUUGCACAAUGGGGGGAACCCUGAUGCAGCGACGCCGCGUGAGUGAAGAAGUAUUUCGGUAUGUAAAGCUCUAUCAGCAGGGAAGAAAAUGACGGUACCUGACUAAGAAGCCCCGGCUAACUACGUGCCAGCAGCCGCGGUAAUACGUAGGGGGCAAGCGUUAUCCGGAUUUACUGGGUGUAAAGGGAGCGUAGACGGCAAUGCAAGUCUGGAGUGAAAGCCCAAGGCCCAACCAUGGGACUGCUCUGGAAACUGUGAGGCUGGAGUGCAGGAGAGGUAAGCGGAAUUCCUGGUGUAGCGGUGAAAUGCGUAGAUAUCAGGAGGAACACCGGCGGCGAAGGCGGCUUACUGGACUGUAACUGACGUUGAGGCUCGAAGGCGUGGGGAGCAAACAGGAUUAGAUACCCUAGUAGA
rnacentral:rRNA from 1 species